GUCCUCCCGGGACUGCGCCCCGCCGUCCUCCGGGCGCCCUCCCGGACUGCGCCCCGCCGUCCUCCCGGGCGCCCUCCCCGGACUGCGCCCCGCCGUCCUCCCCGGCGCCCUCCCCGGACUGCGCCCCGCCGUCCUCCCUGGCCGCCAGUCCCAGGUUGGGCGGGUGGGGAGGCCUUCCCCUGGUUCGAUUCUAUUAAAAGACCUCGGCUACCAUCCAGCGUGUAUUUUGGCAUCUGGUCAUUGAAAAGCAAGCAUGCAACCUAACAGGUGAAAUGUAGGGACCUGGGCGAAGUUCUUCUAGUCAGACCAUUCCCUGGGAGAUGAACAGUCGUCUUCCACGCCAAAAGGUUCUGGGGAGAAGGCCACGGGCGAGAAGACAUCCCUUAGCUUGUAGGAGAGAAGUUACUAAGCAGAUCGCGCCGCAUGGCAACACUGGUUAAUUCAUCCCGAAUUCUUCACUCAAAGGAACAACCCAUGGGCACAUUCUUUAUGGGUUCCAAAGCAACUGUUUUUCGGGGACUCAGGUGAACGAAACCGCCCUCUUGGGGCAAACCUAAAGAGGCCACACAGUGCCAAAACUAGGAUUCCUGUGGUAUCCAGCUUCCUUCCUCUGUGUGUUGGCCUGUUUCAGUGCAUAGUGCCUGAGAUCUUCUGUAUUCUGUUCAAUAUUUAAUUGGCCCUUGAGUCAAAUAUCCUAACACAAACUCUGAAGAAGCAUUCAACCAUUUUCUGUUGAAACAAAUGGGCCAGUAGCUGGGAAUUGAUCAUUUUAGCAUAGAAUAAUUUCUUAUAACACAUCUGACCUAUAUUGGCAUGUUUCAUUGUAUCAUCAGAAAACAAGAAGGCAAAGGAUAGAAGUGUGUGUUCUGAGUCUGGACACCCGUGUAUCAUAUUAGCAGAUGCUGAGGAUUUGACAGAUUCAACAGUGGCCUGUACCUUUCCUUCCACAGAGACAAGGAUGUGGGAGUCAGAUGAGUCACAAACCCAGUUAUGUUCCUGGAGCUACUGUAUCCAGGGUUUGGAAGCUAUUCAGUUUACUAAGGCCACAAGGAGGAAGGGUGAUUAAUCUAUACACGUUCGUGACCCACUAAGGCAACUCAGAACAUGUACACGCUCCCUUUGCUUAUCUGCACAGGAGACUAAUGCAAGCACUUCUGGUGCCAUGAUGAGGUGAUCUUUUUAAGUGUUCACAUAAAACUGUUUUUGGUGUUAUAAAGUAGCUUUAAAAAGAACGUUUAGUUAGGGGCUGGCCCCGUGGCCGAGUGGUUAAGUUCGUGCACUCCGCAGCAGGCGGCCCAGUGUUUCGUUAGUUCGAAUCCUGGGCGCAGACAUGGCACUGCUCAUCAGACCACACUGAGGCAGCGUCCCACAUGCCACAACUAGAAGAACC
rnacentral:lncRNA from 1 species